AUACGGAGGGUGCAAGCGUUAUUCGGAAUCACUGGGCGUAAAGGACGCGUAGGCGGGUUGGCAAGUCAGAUGUGAAAUCCUACAGCUUAACUGUAGAACUGCAUUUGAAACUGCUAACCUAGAGUACGGGAGGGGGAGAUGGAAUUAGUGGUGUAGGGGUAAAAUCCGUAGAUAUCACUAGGAAUACCGAAAGCGAAGGCGAUCUCCUGGAACAUAACUGACGCUAAGGCGUGAAAGCGUGGGGAGCAAACAGGAUUAGAAACCCUAGUAGUCC
rnacentral:rRNA from 1 species